CCUACGGGAGGCAGCAGUGAGGAAUAUUGGUCAAUGGUCGGGAGACUGAACCAGCCAAGCCGCGUGAGGGAGGAAGGUACAGAGUAUCGUAAACCUCUUUUGUCAGGGAACAAAGGCGGGGACGUGUUCCCGGAUGAGUGUACCUGAAGAAAAAGCAUCGGCUAACUCCGUGCCAGCAGCCGCGGUAAUACGGAGGAUGCGAGCGUUAUCCGGAUGUGUGGGGUUUAAGGGGUGCGCAGGCGGUAUGUUAAGUCAGCGGUAAAAGGCCGGGGCACAACCCCGGACCGCCGUUGAAACUGGCAGUCUCGAGUUGGAGAGAGGUAUGCGGAAUGCGCGGUGUAGCGGUGAAAUGCGUAGAUAUCGCGCAGAACUCCGAUUGCGAAGGCAGCAUGCCGGCUCCACACUGACACUGAGGCACGAAAGCGUAGGUAUCGAACAGGAUUAGAUACCCUAGUAGUC
rnacentral:rRNA from 1 species